UACAGAGGGGGCAAGCGUUGUUCGGAAUUAUUGGGCGUAAAGCGCGUGUAGGCGGCUUUGCAAGUCGGGUGUGAAAGCCCUCAGCUCAACUGAGGAAGUGCGCCCGAAACUGCAGAGCUUGAGUACCGGAGAGGAUGGCGGAAUUCCCCAAGUAGAGGUGAAAUUCGUAGAUAUGGGGAGGAACACCGGUGGCGAAGGCGGCCAUCUGGACGGAUACUGACGCUGAGACGCGAAAGCGUGGGUAGCAAACAGG
rnacentral:rRNA from 1 species